AACGAACGCUGGCGGCAGGCCUAACACAUGCAAGUCGAGCGAGGACUUCGGUUCUAGCGGCGGACGGUUGAGUAACGCGUGGGAAUGUGCCCUUCUCUACGGAAUAGCCCUGGGAAACUGGGAGUAAUACCGUAUACGCCCUUUUGGGGAAAGAUUUAUCGGAGAAGGAUCAGCCCGCGUUGGAUUAGGUAGUUGGUGGGGUAAUGGCCUACCAAGCCGACGAUCCAUAGCUGGUUUGAGAGGAUGAUCAGCCACACUGGGACUGAGACACGGCCCAGACUCCUACGGGAGGCAGCAGUGGGGAAUCUUAGACAAUGGGGGCAACCCUGAUCUAGCCAUGCCGCGUGAGUGAUGAAGGCCUUAGGGUUGUAAAGCUCUUUCAGCUGGGAAGAUAAUGACGGUACCAGCAGAAGAAGCCCCGGCUAACUCCGUG
rnacentral:rRNA from 1 species